UCUUAGUGUUACUGGAAUUAAAAGAAAAAAGAAAAAAAAGACAAUUAUCUUAAGCAACGUCGCUUAACAAGAGACGUCUUGUAGACACACGUCGCUCUCUCUUGCUUCCCGUCGAAUCUUUCGUCCGCUUCCCAGCAUCAGAUGAAUCAUCUCCUCUCUUCUUCACUUUUGAUUGUUAAUACUCAUGAGUCGAAGUUCAAGCAGGGAGACCCUUUGUGGUAUUGUAGGUUUCAAUUGAAUCAAUGCUCUCUCUGAUGCUAUGCCUCAUCUUAAGAAGAGAGCCCAGAACUCAUUGGUCACACUAUCCAAGACUCGUAUCUCUCCACCAAGGGUUUUGUUUUGUUGUGUAGUGAGCUAGAGAGCCAAAAACAAUGUCGUUUACAGGAACGCAGCAGAAAUGCAGGGCGUGCGAGAAGAAAGUGUACCCUAUAGAGCUUCUCUCAGCUGAUGGUGUCCCUUUUCACAAGUCUUGCUUCAAGUGUUCUCACUGCAAAUCCACCCUUCAAUCAGUUUCUUUCUUUCCCCCUUUCAUCACUCUCUGUCUAUGAAUAUGUAUGAAUGUUUGAUAAUAACUUGGAUUGUCUUGUCUACGUUGAUGUUUUCAUUUGUCUGUUCUUCCUUCACAUGUUUUCUUGUUAAUUUUUUUUAAAAAAACCUCUAAAUAAUGCAUUGGAGUAUAUAAAUGUUUGGGUCUCUUAGCCAUG